AGAUAUAGAGAUGUUGGUAUUGGUGGAGGUAAAGUGGUGGGAGAGGGUUGUAGCGAAUUGGGGGCCAUGGUCGGUUAAUAGUUGAAUGAUUGUAGGCAGCGAUGGUGGGUGGUGGAUGGUUGGUUGUUGUUAUGGUGAUGGCGUGGCAAAAGUGGUACUAGUAGUCUUGGAGACGACGUGCGAGUAAUGAUGGUGGGGGUUGUGGUAAUAGCAAUGGGGGGUAGCGGGACACAUCAAUGCUUAUAACGCACAAUUACAAAUUCCACCCAAUAUUUUAAGUAAGAAUUACGCUACUUAUUUAUUUAUUUUUUAAAAAAAUUGAACUAAAAUGUAACUUGUGAUUGUCAAAAAAAUUCAAUUUACUUUCUCUAAAAACAUUUAUUUUAAGAGUUAAAAUUUAGUUAUCAAAUAUGUAAAUGUAAAUAUUAUAGUUUUGUCUUCAUUUUCCGUUUCCAACAAGUAUUUCAUCUGUCUGAUUUGUCUGUCAAUUUUAAGAGUUUCAAAUUUUUAAUAGAUAAUUUUUUUAAAAUUAGAAUGUAUUAUAUUUUAAUUUCUCAAAAUAAACAAGCACUCAUUUUAGAACACCUAAAGAACAAACAAAACGACACAAUAGGAAAUACUCCAAAAAUUUACCAAUUAUUUUUUCGUGCGAUUUUGUGAUCUUAAAUCGCUAUGAGUCAUUGAUCCGUGUUCCAGAUAUCCUUCCCAAUCAGACAAAGCCACUUCACUACCCCCAAACUGCGGUCUAAACCGUCCAUUAUUAUUUUCAAAACAACCAAAUAAAUGACUUAAGUUUUGCGAGGUCAUCAAUCCCCGUCUAUCAGUAUCUUCUAAUCAAAACUAAUCAUAACACCUUUAUAUACGAAACACGCUACACCUAAUCCUUUUCAUCUUACAACCAACACCUUUCCUUUAAUUCUUCUCUCUCCCUCUCAACAUUUUUGCUCUCUAUUCCUGUGAAAUUCCCGAUAGCGUUUAAGGCUGAGAAGAAGCCAGCAGAGAAGAAGUCCACGGUGGUGGAGAAGGCCCCGGCGGAGAAGAAACCGAAGGCGAUAAAGAAGCUGCCUAAGGAGGGCGAGGCUGCAACGGCCGGACAAAAAGAAGAAGAGGACAAAGAAGAGCGUGGAUACGUACAAGAUCUACAUCUUCAAGAUGCUAAAGCAGGUACACCCAAACAUUGGGGUCUCGAGCAAGGCCAUGGGCAUCAUGAACAGCUUCAUCAACGACAUCUUUGACACGCUUGCUUAGGAGUCCUCGAGGCUCGCUAGGUACAAUAAGAAGCCUACAAUCACAUCUCGGGAGAUCCAAACUACAUUGAGGCUUGUGUUACCUGGUGAAUUGGUGAAGCACGCCGUGUCGGAGGGUACCAAGGCCGUGACCAAGUUUACUAGCUUCAUCAACGGCAUCUUUUGUUUUCAAUGCAUGUGUAUUGAACUUGAUUUGCCAAUUUGACGUCCAAAGUAGCUUUUUGAGUGACUGGUGGAUUUGUAGAUUGUUAAUGUUGACGUAGUUUACUAGUCAUGUUCUAGCGUUUUGGGAAAUUUGGUGUUGGUGCUAGGAUUACAUUUUACUUUUCGCUAAGCGUUUGUUGUUUUCAUUUUUGCAUUUGAAGUCGAUUAACACUCAUAUAUUGUGUGCAAGUACUUGUGCUUCAUUGAGGAAUGAAUAUGCUAUUGCUCACCAACCUCUUUGGUUCUAUUUUUAGUAUGUGUACGGAUCUAAAAUUGUGUCUACAUUCAAAUAAGCUUUUUGAGUAAUUGCUGGUGAAAACCUAUUUUUCUAUAAUUAUUAAUCGGAUCUUUCAAUCGAUUGGCACAAAUACCCUAAAUAUUGUCAAGUCACUUAGUUAAAGCAGUCAGUUAUCUCUCAAAUAACUAGAAUGCCAAGAAAGAAAAACAAAUGCUCCUUUCAUGGUGGAACUUAAAAUUGUUAAUUACGUUUUGAAGUUAAUUCUAUAAUUAAUUACCAAUUACAACUAAUAUAUAGAGAAGACAUGCCCAAGGAAUAUGAUUUUUCAACCAUCUAUAGAGAAAACAACUCUAAGGGUUUCAAAUUACGAUCAAGCCUAAGAAAAUGGUAAAAUCAUGCUCGGAGGCUCGGAGCGCAUAAAAGCAAGGCUCCAAACCAANNNNNNNNNNNNNNNNNNNNNNNNNNNNNNNNNNNNNNNNNNNNNNNNNNNNNNNNNNNNNNNNNNNNNNNNNNNNNNNNNNNNNNNNNNNNNNNNNNNNAUUCGCAAGAUAGUGCACAUGAUUAUCUUGGUAUGGAUAACUCAUUGUGUUUUUGUUUUCAAUGGAUGCAUUACCCUUUAUGCUUUGUACCUCCCCACAAUGAUGGCUAUGCUAUCUUAGGGAGCGUUGAAGUUUGCUUCUUCUAUUGAGUUUUUUAUGGUCAUCAAUACAAGUUAUACUUAAUAGAACUAAUUUGAUUCGAAAGCUAGUAUACAUGAUUAUCUUAGGCUGAAUAACUCGUUGUGGAUUGUUGUUUCAACAGAUGUAUUACC
rnacentral:lncRNA from 1 species